AACAAACGCUGGCGGCAUGCCUUACACAUGCAAGUCGAACGGUAACAGGUCUUCGGAUGCUGACGAGUGGCGAACGGGUGAGUAAUACAUCGGAACGUGCCCGAUCGUGGGGGAUAACGGAGCGAAAGCUUUGCUAAUACCGCAUACGAUCUACGGAUGAAAGCAGGGGACCGCAAGGCCUUGCGCGGACGGAGCGGCCGAUGGCAGAUUAGGUAGUUGGUGGGAUAAAAGCUUACCAAGCCGACGAUCUGUAGCUGGUCUGAGAGGACGACCAGCCACACUGGGACUGAGACACGGCCCAGACUCCUACGGGAGGCAGCAGUGGGGAAUAUUGGACAAUGGGCGCAAGCCUGAUCCAGCCAUGCCGCGUGGGUGAAGAAGGCCUUCGGUCGUAAGCUACUUUUGUAGAGGAGUGAGGAAGGGACGGUACGUCUCAGAAUAAGUCGUCGGUCGUAACUACGUCGCCGAGCAGCCGGACGGUAAA
rnacentral:rRNA from 1 species